AUCAUCAUUGGCAGCACGUGUGUCUGUCUAGUUUUGUCGCCUCAGUGGACCUUUUGAAAAUACAUUUAGCUAAUUUAAUAUUUAAUUAAUAACAUUUUUGUUGUUUUCAAAAUAUUUUUCACUGUUGUAAUGUCAUAGUGAAUAAUACUUAAUGCGCCACACGGCAACUGUAGACGUAUGGAGCAAAAUUAGCUUGCGGAUAAGCCAAGUCCACGCAGAUAACUGGUUUCUGUGUCGCCAUGGCUGAUGCAUUCAGUGACAACUCGGAGAAUGUAAUACGACGUCAGGUUGACGUCCAAGUGAAGAGUACCACCCCGUUGGAAAAGCUUAAUGACUUCUAUCAAAUUAAUAAGACCUGCGACUUCAUUUUCCAGAAUCACUUUGAGAAGGUAGCACUGCAGUUUCCCGAUGACCUCCUGCACGAUUCCACUGCAAUUGCAGCUGAGAUUGAAAGAAUAACUCAAAUAAAAGUAUUCAUUCUAGGAGAUACAUCCUAUGGAAGUUGCUGUGUGGACGAGGUGGCGGCAGAACACGUUGGAGCCGACUGCGUGGUGCACUACGGCCGGGCCUGCCUCAGCCCGUCCAAAAGGUUGCCGCUCAUGUACAUCUUUGACAGAAGACGCAUCGAUGUGGCGAAGUGCACCUCGGCCUUCAGGGAACUGUACCCUGACACGCAAGCCGACGUUCUCGUCCUCUAUGAUGUCAGAUACGCACACGCCAUUGAUGACGUUGUGGCGAUGUUACGUGACGACUACCCAAACCUUGUCACGUCACAGCUGGCCGUGGAAGGCGAGAUGUGUUACGGCCUGAAUAAAAAAGAACCAGACCAGGAGCAGGACGGCAAUCAGCUCUGUUGUCACUUUGGGCGCCAGUUCUCCCUGAAGGCGGGACUGAGCAUUAAGGAUUACGGCGUCUUCUACAUCGGCCAAGAAGGAGCCACCUUACGGAACUUCAUGAUGACCUGGAACCGCUGCGCCUUCUCCUCCUUUGACCCCGCCACCUCCACGGGGAGAGCCGAGUCGGUCGGCGUCAACCGCAUGCUGAUGAAGCGCUACUACGUUAUCGAGCGGGCAAAGGAUGCCAAGGUGGUGGGCAUCCUGGUGGGCACGCUGGGCGUGGCCAAUUACCUGUCCAUCAUCCAGCAGCUGAAGGAGACCAUCCACAAGGCGGGCAAGAAGACGUACAUGUUCGCCAUGGGGAAGCUCAACGUGGCCAAGCUGGCCAACUUCAUGGAAAUUGACGUUUUUGUUCUCAUCGCGUGUCCCGAGAACUCACUGUUGGACUCCGGUGACUUUUACCGACCCGUGGUGACCCCCUUUGAGAUGGAAGUGGCCUGCAACAGGAACAGGGAGUGGUCCGAGGAAUACGUCACAGACUUUGGACAUCUUUUACCAGGUGGCCAAAGCCAUGUGCCUUUGGCUGAAGGUCAGGAGGACUCCGACCAGACGGACGUAUCUUUAAUCACAGGAGCCCUGAGGAACUACAAGCUGGACACAGAACCCGUCACCUCACACAGCUCCUCGGUGGUCCUCAGGAACCAGACCCUGACUGUGGCCAACACCAACUCAGCAGCAUCAUUUCUGGCCCAUCGGAGUUGGCGCGGCUUGGAGCAGAAGUUGGGGGAGACGCCCGUGGUGAAGGCUGUGGAAGGGAGGAAGGGCAUCGCCAUCGCCUAUGAAGAAGAAGCAGUUCCAUGAUCAUAAAACUCAGAUCUUCAGGAUUGGACGACUCAUACGAAUGAAGUGCCACCAAAGUCAUCACCUCGGUCGUCUGCGACUUUGCACCAGUAUGCUAAACAGGAAGUACACACACAAAAACACAGUAUUUACGCAUGUAGCGCACAGAAAGAAUCCUGUAUGUACAGUACAGUGGAAUCCGUUUACACCAGGGGUCUCAAACCCACGGCCUGCGAGCUCAUAUUGUGUGUAAGUGCAGUCGACAAAGAUAAGUACACAAAUUAACUUAAUCUUUACAAUACAUGCUCCACGAAAAGCCAAACUUUUUAGUUAGAUUACCCCAAUACAUAACCCAAAUCUGACCAAAACUAUUUUUUUCCAUUUAAUUAGUCAUGAGGUGUAAUUCACAUUUUAACCACUAGAUGGUGCACAAGUAUAGUGUACAUUGUAUCUGUGUGUAACCUUAGCUUGACACAUAAGUUGCUUAUAAAUCAAUGGCCUAUUAGCUGUUAUUAUGUCUACUAUAUUGGGUAAUAUGAGUCUGAAGGUGACUAUAGGGGUGUUAUUUCAAGCCUAGAGGGCUCUAAUAGUAUACAUUAAUUAUUGGUUAUCGUACGGAUAUCAGGCAUGAUUAGCACAAAAAAAAUCAAUGGCCUAUUAGCUGUUAUGUCUACUAUAUUGGGUAAUAUGAGUCUGAAGGUGACUAUAGGGGUGUUAUUUCAAGCCUAGAGGGCUCUAAUAGUAUACAUUAAUUAUUGGUUAUCGUACGGAUAUCAGGCAUGAUUAGCACAAAAAAAAUCAAUGGCCUAUUAGCUGUUAUGUCUACUAUAUUGGGUAAUAUGAGUCUGAAGGUGACUAUAGGGGUGUUAUUUCAAGCCUAGAGGGCUCUAAUAGUAUACAUUAAUUAUUGGUUAUCAGGCAUGAGAAGCACAAAAAAAUCAAUGGCCUAUUAGCUGUUAUUAUGUCUACUAUAUUGGCUAAUAUGAGUCUGAAGGUGACUAUAGGGAUGUUAUUUCAAGCCUAGAGGGCUCUAAUAGUAUACAUUAAUUAUUGAUUAUUGUACGGAUAUCAGGCAUGAGAAGCACAAAAAAAUCAGUCGCCUAUUAGCUGUUAUUAUGUCUACUAUAUUGGGUAAUAUGAGUCUGAAAGUGACUAUAGGGGUGUUAUUUCAAGCAUAGAGGGCUCUAAUAGUAUACUAAUAUUUUUUUUAACAGUAAUUUACCUAACAUCCUGUACGAAAGCAGGUUCAAACGGGUUCCACUGUAUUUUUUUUUUUUAAAGAUGUACUCACUUCUCUGAUGUGGCACCACAAUGUGAGGCGGCGGCUACCGGCGCGACUCCACACACUCCCCAUGUCGGUUUCAUCAUCGAUGGCACUUUUUGCGUCUGAAGUCAAACUAUAAAGAAAUCACAUGAGUACUCCAGUAGGUUCAGUCAUGAAGGGGGGGUCGGGAAAAAACUGUACAGCGUACCUCAACACGAUGGACGAAGAAGAGAGGUUGAGUUUCUUACUGAUCUUCUCUACCAGCGUUGCGUACGUGGAGCCGCUUGGUAGACACACGGCCAAGUUGAACGUGUGGUAGACUUUGACGAUACACAAGUCGUCACCAGGGAGGACUUCCUGUAAAAAAAGUUCUUCUUAAAGACGCCAUCACGUACUUGAAUGUCACUUUUCUGACUGCGUACCUUUUGUUGCAAGUCACCACGAACAACACCUUCGAUUAAAAAAACAAAACAAAACAUGAUUUGUAUUCAUGAAAUAAAGCGAUCAUCAUUACGAUGAAUAUGUGUACCUUGUUUCCUUUCUGGCCUGGUCGGUGGUUCCCGACUUGGAGGUUCUGAUUCCUGUUUCCCAAUCCAACAGAGCAAAAUGAACGACCACAUCAAGGAUCAUGUAAAUCUGCAAGCUUCUCACCUGCGUCAGCGUGGCCCCUAAGGACAUUUCCAAAUGUUCAAGACCACCGAGGCCCAGUUGUCGGAACCUUUCUGCAGAACAAAUACAACGUUGCCCGGGACUACGGCCAACUCGUCGCUGGUUUCGGGAAUAAAUUCAUAGCGGACGAUGUGAGGUUCACCUUCCAAAGUCCUGAAAAGAGAGGAAAAGGUUAGAAAUAAGGAUUAAUUUAUGACAUACUUUAUAUACAAACUGGUUUUAGUGCGUUAGAGGAGGUGCAGUAGGGACAUAUGACCAGUAGGUGGCCUCGGGGAACACCCAGGACAGUCUCUGGACUGGCUUGGGUGAAGUAGGCUACAGACCUCAUAAUCGAUAAACGAUGUAUGGAUUAAAUGAAUAAAUGAUAGUUUUAUGAUCGACUAUGGCCUAUUAGUCCAAAAAUAUCAAAAAACAAGUUACAUGUAGUAUUGUGUUCCCAAGGCGUCAGUAAUGUUAUGACGCUACUCCUCUCAUUCUGUGUGGAAGUGGUCAAUUUUGGGCUUUUUCAUCCUCCUUCCUCUUGCCAUUUGAAACACUUAUGUUUAGAAUCAGUAAAUCGGAGAGGCUAACUAGUUAGCUCACGAGCAUAGCCUGACAUUGUGAUGUAAAUAGAGAAUAAUGGCAGAGUGAAGGUGACUAUAAGGGUGUUACUUCAUGUCUGCCGGGCUCUAAUUAUGUUAAAAGCCAUAUUUAGUUUUCAUUUAUUCAUAUUAAAUCCUAAUUCACUGUACUUAUUUGAUGGAUUUAUGAAUGACAUGCUGGUCUCGGGAGGGUUUGCU